GACGAACGCUGGCGGCGUGCUUAACACAUGCCAGUCGAACGGAAAGGCCCUGCUUUUGUGGGGUGCUCGAGUGGCGAACGGGUGAGUAACACGUGAGUAACCUGCCCUUGACUUUGGGAUAACUUCAGGAAACUGGGGCUAAUACCGGAUAGGAGCUCCUGCUGCAUGGUGGGGGUUGGAAAGUUUCGGCGGUGGGGGAUGGACUCGCGGCUUAUCAGCUUGUUGGUGGGGUAGUGGCUUACCAAGGCUUCGACGGGUAGCCGGCCUGAGAGGGUGACCGGCCACAUUGGGACUGAGAUACGGCCCAGACUGCUACGGGAGGCAGCGGUGGGGAAUAUUGCACAGUGGGCGGAAGCCUGAUGCAGCAGCGCCGCGUGCGGGAUGACGGCCUUCGGGUUGUAAACCGCUUUCGCCUGUGACGAAGCGUGAGUGACGGUAAUGGGUAAAGAAGCACCGGCUAACUACGUG
rnacentral:rRNA from 1 species